UUGUUGUUCUUUUUUUCAGAAAGAAUACAGCUUAAACCAAGAAGUUUUCAGAUCCUGUGAGAUGCCACAGAGUCACAGAAAUCAGCAUGAGCCAAGAAGAAUGACCACAGAGGAUCGCCUCCUGGAGCUGUCAAGAGAUAUGCAAGCUAUAGAGGACUAUGAAAGUUUUGGUAAAGACUAAAUUCUGAAGGCUACCAUGGUUAGGUCAACAUUGUUUUGCUGUUCAAUGCAGAUGUAUCACAAGAUUCUGGAAAUGAGAAGUGUUGCUCCAGAGAAAAAAUCAUUUUGGUUUGGUCCUUGGAUGUCCUUACAUCCUCAUGGUCUCAUUAGAGUAUGUCUGGAAAGACUACUUCAAUGUGCAGAGGCUGAGGCAGGAAAGGGUUUUAUGAAGGCCUAGGUUGGAAGAAUCAAUCACAACAAGAAGAAAAAUGCUUUCACUCCCCACCCCAAGUGACCACACCAGAGAGGGAUGCCCAGACCACAGGUCAACUAGAUUGCACUGAAUUGUAUCCACAAUGCUCUGAGCUUCAGUCCUUUGGAGCAGCUUGGUCACAUCAAAAUACAUAGUUGUGGGUCUCACCAGGCUGUUUGGUGACAAUACCAAUGACUUCAGUAUGCAUGCACAUAAAAGACACCUUUUGAUUCAAAGUGCCCACAAUGAUGAGAAGCGGCACUGACAGCCACCAGUAUGGUACAAAUACAGCUUGCUUCCAUGGGGGUGUGCUGUGAAACAUGAGGAGAUGUGGAGGUACCUGAGGGCACAAACCCUGCUGGGGUACGGUUUGCCCUGAUGCAGGUUAAGGAGCAAACUUUGAUAUAAUCCAGGUUCUUUUGUCUCUGGUGUAGCACCUGGGAGCAAAGCAUGCUGUCCACUCUGCAUGGGCUCCAUCUCCACACAGGACUGCAGUAGCAAGCAGCAC